UACGUAGGCAGCGAGCGUUUGUUCGGAGUUACUGGGCGUAAAGCGUGCGUAGGCGGUGUCUUAAGUUUGUUGUGAAAUCUCCCGGCUUAACCGGGGAGGGUGCGGCGAAUACUGAGAUGCUGGAGUGCCGGAGAGGUAAGCGGAAUUCCUGGUGUAGCGGUGAAAUGCGUAGAUAUCAGGAGGAACACCUGCGGUGUAGACGGCUUCUGGACGGUAACCUGGACGCUGAGGCACGAAAGCCGUGGGUAGCAAACAGG
rnacentral:rRNA from 1 species